CCUACGGGAGGCAGCAGUGGGGAAUAUUGGACAAUGGGGGGAACCCUGAUCCAGCCAUGCCGCGUGUGUGAAGAAGGCCCUCGGGUUGUAAAGCACUUUCAGUGAGGAAGAACGCCUGGUGGUUAAUACCCAUCAGGAAAGACAUCACUCACAGAAGAAGCACCGGCUAACUCCGUGCCAGCAGCCGCGGGAAUACGGAGGGUGCGAGCGUUAAUCGGAAUUACUGGGCGUAAAGCGCGCGUAGGUGGCUUGAUAAGCCGGUUGUGAAAGCCCCGGGCUCAACCUGGGAACGGCAUCCGGAACUGUCAAGCUAGAGUGCAGGAGAGGAAGGUAGAAUUCCCGGUGUAGCGGUGAAAUGCGUAGAGAUCGGGAGGAAUACCAGUGGCGAAGGCGGCCUUCUGGACUGACACUGACACUGAGGUGCGAAAGCGUGGGUAGCAAACAGGAUUAGAUACCCUGGUAGUC
rnacentral:rRNA from 1 species